rnacentral:rRNA from 1 species
UACGUAGGGGGCUAGCGUUGUCCGGAAUCAUUGGGCGUAAAGCGCGUGUAGGCGGUCCGGUAAGUCCGCUGUGAAAGUCGAGGGCUCAACCCUCGAAUGCCGGUGGAUACUGGCGUGCUUGAGGACUGGAGAGGAGACUGGAAUUUACGGUGUAGCGGUGAAAUGCGUAGAUAUCGUAAGGAAGACCAGUGGCGAAGGCGGGUCUCUGGACAGUUCCUGACGCUGAGGCACGAAGGUCAGGGGAGCAAACGGG